rnacentral:rRNA from 1 species
AUGGGCGAGGACAAGAAGGAGAAGCCGGGCAAGGCAGACGGCGCCGACCACAACAAGGACGCCGCGGCGCCGCCCGAGCCCAUCGUGCUCAAGGUCGACUUGCAUUGCGCCGGCUGCGCCACCAAGGUUAAGCGGGCCAUCAAGAACGCCCCUGGCGUGGAGUCGGUUAAGACUGACACGGCGGCCAACAAGGUGGUCGUCACCGGCGCGGUGGACGCGGCGGAGAUCAAACAGCGCAUCGAGGCCAGGACCAAGAAGCCCGUUCAAAUCGUCUCCGCCGGAGCCGCCUCGCCCAACAAGGACAACAAGGAGAAAGGCAAGGACAACAAGGCGGACGCCGGCGAUAAGCCGGAGAAAGAGAAGAGCAAGGCAGCAGAAAAGGAGAAGGGCGGUGCCGGUGCCGGUGCUGAGAAAAAGGAGAAAAAAGUGGAAACCGCCGACAAGCCCAAGGAGGAGGAGAAGAAACCAAAGGAGCCCAAAGAGGAGACCGUGACGCUCAAGAUCAGGCUGCACUGCGACGGCUGCAUCGACCGCAUCAAGCGCCGCGUCAACAAGAUCAAAGGAGUGAAGGAAGUGACGGUGGACGCGGCCAAGGACCUGGUGAAGGUGACUGGCACCAUGGACGCAGCCGCCCUGCCGGGCUACCUCAGAGACAAGCUCAGUCGGCCUGUGGAGGUCGUCACCCCUGGCAAGAAGGACGGCGACAAGAAAGACGACGGCGAGAAGAAGAAGGACAAGGGAGCCGGCGACGGUGGCGAAAAGAAGAAGGACGGCGGUGGCGAGGACAAGAAGGACAAGUCCGCGGCGUCCGUGGCGCCGAUGCCCAUGGCGGACCCGAGCAUGUACCAGAUGCCCCCACAGUACGGCUACAUGCCGUACCCCCCGGCGCCCGUCGGCUACUACGGCGCGGCGCCGCCGCCGCCGAACCCGGGCUUCUACCCGAACGCCGGUCCCCAGUACCCGCCGCCCUACGCGACGUACCCCGCCCACGCGCCCCAGAUGUUCAGCGACGAGAACCCCAACGCCUGCUCCGUCAUGUGA